GACGAACGCUGGCGGCGUGCUUAACACAUGCAAGUCGAACGAAGAGCGAUGGAAGCUUGCUUCUAUCAAUCUUAGUGGCGAACGGGUGAGUAACGCGUAAUCAACCUGCCCUUCAGAGGGGGACAACAGUUGGAAACGACUGCUAAUACCGCAUACGAUCUAAACUCGGCAUCGAGGAUAGAUGAAAGGUGGCCUCUACAUGUAAGCUAUCACUGAAGGAGGGGAUUGCGUCUGAUUAGCUAGUUGGAGGGGUAACGGCCCACCAAGGCGAUGAUCAGUAGCCGGUCUGAGAGGAUGAACGGCCACAUUGGGACUGAGACACGGCCCAGACUCCUACGGGAGGCAGCAGUGGGGAAUCUUCCGCAAUGGACGAAAGUCUGACGGAGCAACGCCGCGUGAGUGAUGACGGCCUUCGGGUUGUAAAGCUCUGUUAAUCGGGACGAAAGGCCUUCUUGCGAAUAGG
rnacentral:rRNA from 1 species